UGGGGAAUUUUGGACAAUGGGGGCAACCCUGAUCCAGCAAUGCCGCGUGUGUGAAGAAGGCCUUCGGGUUGUAAAGCACUUUUGUCCGGGAAGAAAUCGCACCUGAUAAUACCGGGUGUGGAUGACGGUACCGGAAGAAUAAGGACCGGCUAACUACGUGCCAGCAGCCGCGGUAAUACGUAGGGUCCAAGCGUUAAUCGGAAUUACUGGGCGUAAAGCGUGCGCAGGCGGUUGUGCAAGACCGAUGUGAAAUCCCCGGGCUUAACCUGGGAAUUGCAUUGGUGACUGCACGGCUAGAGUGUGUCAGAGGGGGGUAGAAUUCCACGUGUAGCAGUGAAAUGCGUAGAGAUGUGGAGGAAUACCGAUGGUGAAGGCAGCCCCCUGGGAUAACACUGACGCUCAUGCACGAAAGCGUGGGGAGCAAACAGG
rnacentral:rRNA from 1 species